rnacentral:lncRNA from 1 species
AUGAGCAUCAAACUCUUUCUGAGCUUGCAGAAAAUGUACUCCUGCAAAACAGGGAGAAGAAAAUCUUUGAAGAAUGAAACUAAUGUUUUUUCCUCACUUAUUUGUUUUCCUUUUCUGUUCUGUUUAGUGAGAAAAUUCUGGAUAAGAACUCAAGAAAUACGUCCAAUUCUUCUUAGCUUAGUCCCAUUCAUCAUCAGUUUUCUGCUCUUGAACCUACUCUUGAUAGAUUCUUGGUGAUAAAAUAAGUGCCAGGAAUGUUAAAUAUGCCUACUUAUUUUAAUUAUCCUCAUUGUGUGUUUUCAAUUAUUAGUCAGAGCCAGCGAUUGAAUGCAUUAGCCCUUAUUAAGAUCCUCGAUGGAUUUGAUUUAGAUUGAAAGGCAUUAAGAGAGAAAUUUUGAUACGAAACCGUCCUACUUUUUUUAGUGUCUAUAAUCAUCGAAUUUAUCAUUUCGGAGUUGAAUGACUCCUUACUGUACAGCUAUUUAGGCAGCAUCUGCUUACUUCCAUUUUCGCUUCAUCUUGCUUUUUUACUUUUUUUUAACCUUUAUUUUCAGUCAGGGUAUUUGAAUAUUUUAAGUUGAUAGAUCUGUUCUUAUGAAAUAAUGUUCCAUUUUUAUUUUUUCUUUCCCUUUUUAAUUGGUCAAAAAACUUCCGCUUCAGUCAAAAAGCAACGGGGAAAGUUGAAUUAUUAUUUCAUACUGAGAUGAUUCCAACAAGACACCUUGAUUCAAACAUCCCUAGUGUAUCUGCAGCAAUGGGUACUGCAUAUGUUGCAGAAACGUUGCAGCAACCUUUUUGUAACGUCUCUGCAACCUUUUCUAGAAACGAUUGCCAGACAGGAUUCAAAAUCCUCAGAAAAAUGGAUUUACCAAAGUUUUUGAGUUCAGAAGCUCUGGGAUAUUGGUGUCCUUAAUUCACUGCUUUAGCUUAUGACUCUCAAAGAGGCAGGAGCUAAGUCUGUUUGUUUCCUCUUUCCUUCUAGCAUUUUAGUGAUUGUUGCUACUUUAUCAAUUAAAAUUCUUGGGUGACUUUUUUCUCAGCUUUACAUAUAAUUUUUAGUGGUUCUUCCCACACUGUGCAAGCAUUAACUUUUAAUCAAAAUUCAUAGGUACUUUUUCAAAUUCCUCUUGUGUCCUUUAAAUGUGUAUUUUAUAAGUAAAAUGUUAGCUAAAUUAAGAAAAAUUCUUGGUUUUCAGUGCCUUGGGAACGUAUAUUAUACGAAAUCUAUCGAUGAUCAAAGAUUCUGUAUAACCAGCAUCCUGUAUCCUAAUUUCUUAUUGGGAAUAUAGCUUUAAACCGACAGGAAUCUAGGGUCUCAGGAAAAGCUGGAUUAUUCCUUUCAAUAGAAGCAUGGAAAAUUGAUCGUCUUAUUUUGAAAACCUUUGGCCUUGGGAGUCAUGAAGUCCAUUCUAAAUCGUUGCAUAAUUAUAACCCUUUUUCCUAAAAUUUUCGAAAGUUUAGAUUUUCCCGGCAUCCAAGAAUGUUGAAAGGAAAAAUUCAAUGCGCCUCCAAGCAAGAUCUCUGAUGUAACCUAAUUUUGAUCUGAUUUUCGUAGCUAAGUUUUACAAGAAUUUCAUUCAUCAUCAGGGGCGAAUUAGAGCCGUUAAAGUAACUGAGAAUUCCCGCCCAUCUUAGUUGUUUUUUUUUUUUUUUUGCUGUACAAAGGAGACCAACUGGUCCAAUAUCAUCCUAUGUAUCGACAGGCUCACUAGGAUUUCUCCCAGUGUUCCCGCCUCCCUGUCCACCCCUGUUCAUUAUGGUCAGAAUAACGUUUUCUUGAAUAUUUAUAGCUUACCAGAUGAGUGAAUGUAUAUCGACGUAUAAGCCCACCAGUGCUGAUCAUAGCUAUCUAAUUUUCAUGUUAGACUUCUUUCAGAGGUUAUAUAUUUUAUGCUUUAUUCAGAGGCUCAUGUAAGUAAAAGGCACUUUGUGUUAUCUGUAAGACAGGGCAUCACAUGGCACUGAUCAACGUAUGUAGUCUCAAACAUAACUGAUUUUCCUCUUUUUCUUUUUAAUACCUCUUUCUUAAAGCUAUGGCUUUCCUCUUAAUCAUCUGCCUAGUCCUUCAGGUGUAACUUAAUCUCAUCUAAUAAAAUAACCUUUGUAUAUCAUCGUAAAUCCAUCUUAUAAUACUUGUGAAUACUUGUGAUAUUAGUUUUGAUGAUCAAGGAGGUAUCCUAAAUCUCUAAUCUUUUCCAAUUUCUUUGAUACUUUGAUUGUCACGGCAUUUAGAUCAUUGCAUUUUUCCUUCUAUGUAACAUUCAGUUGUUUAUAUUUUAAGUGUUUUGUACAGUUAUUCUAUCAAUACAUCAGUCUAUGCUGUUGCUGACAUUUUUCUCAAUUUCUAGUAUGUAUGCUCUUUCCAAAUUUAUAAUUAAUCCAACCCUGUCUCUAUUGUGAAAUCACCCUUCACUGAUAAACAUUACGGAACUCAAAUCUUUUAAACCGAUGCUCAAUAUCUCCGCACGCUGCACGGCUCAUCAUCAUACAAUCACUUUUUGAUUGUUGGAGACUGUGUAUAGGUGAACGGACUGGACAUUUAUCCAGAAACAACCCAACUGCAUGUCUCGUUGCCUAAUUUCUUCCCACGUAUUAUUUUUUAACAGGAAACGGGACCAUAGAUUGCCUUGAAAUUUUCUGUGAAUUUCCUCUAGAUUAUGUAGAGUAUUCUCACACAAAUGCAAUACAAGUCAGAAUGUUACUUUAUUUUAUGUAAAAAAAUAAAACUUUAAGGUAAAUUGGGCAACGUCUGAUGCAGUUAAGCUUAUUCUAGCGCAAUCUGCCCAACUGAACUGUAUUUUGCAAUGAGGAGCUACAAAUUUCUGGCCCUGACGUAAAAACACCUACCUCCGUAGGCAAACUAAUGGCACAUAUGUUGUUUCUAUAAUGAGCCAGAAAAUGUAGUUCCAAAUUGCAAAAUGCAGUCCAAUUUAUUAGCAGUGCAAAAAUUUUAGUAAAAGUUAAAAUUUGUUUUAUUAAUUCUUUUUUUCAAUGAAUUAAUAAACAAGAUCCAAAUUUUAAAAUUCUGUCCAGAUUAAAUUUUAUAGGUAAUCCUCAUACGUCAUGUUCUGAGAACAAUUUUAAAUACAAAAACUUUCUCAAAAUCAUUUUGACAUAUUUUCAACUUCUGAAGUAGACCAAAAGUUACUGCUUUCAAAGCAAUUGUUUGUCAAAUUUAUAAGGCACAACAGGUCUUGAUGAAGUUUUAGUUGCUUACUCACAUAAAAUUUUCAAAAUUACGAUGAGUCCACCAGUGAAGUCAAAUUU